CGGGACCCGGUCAAUCCUGUAAUUUUUUUUAGUAUUUUAAUGUGAUAAAACUAUUGUCCUCAGAAUAGAUAAUAAUUUUAAUAUUCAUUAUCUACUUAUAUUUUCUGAGUAUUUUCUAUCAUAGAGUAAUAUUACUUUAUAGUGUAUAUAUAAAUUGUAUAAGCACAGAUAAGACAGAAUUAUCGUUCGUCGUCUGUCGAAUCCGGUCGUUAUCGCGAUAGCAUUUAUAAUAAUUAAUAUUUUCGACUUUGGAGUCAUCUACAAUUUAUAUUAUCUGAAUUUUAAACAAAGUAAUUAUUUUACACGCGGCCGGAUCAUGCCGACCGAAAACAAAUAUUACAUUACCGACGUGCCUCAUUUACGAAAAAGUUUUACUAAUGAAGCUAUGAAACCGUGAAGAUUGCAAGAACAUUUAAUACGAGUUCAUGCCAGCGGACAUUGGUAUUCAUGUUUUCAACAACAUUGAAAUCGUAAAUUUCUUUACUGAUUGCCAAAUGUGGAACACCCGAACUCCACAUGCCGUUGUCGAUGAACUUAUUUUGUCGGCUAUAGACGAGGUAAUAUACACACUACUGCAUCAUAACCAUUUUGAUGAAAUAUGUAUAACAACAAAAAAAACCGUUCAAAAAUGGCAAUAGCAAUAAAACAACACAGUACUAUAGUUACAAAUCAAAAUGUAGUUUAUUUUACUUUUGAAAAACACGUGAGCAGUAGACGCUUGACCAAGUAAAAAACAAUUUUUUUAAUCUUUUUAACUUUUUUAUCAUUCACUUUUUUACCUAUCUGUUAAUAGGUCUAUGUUUUUUUAAACAUAAUGCUUAUCAGAUGUUGUCUGAUUAUUUUGUGUUCAAGGCGCAGUCCAUUUAGUAAAUAGGUCUAUGAAUAUAAACAACAUAAUGAACAUACCAUGUAUUAUCUAUUCAAUAAAACUAAUAAUAUACUAUCAAGAUGGAUUAAAUCAAUAAAUAAAUCCACA